UGUUGCUCUGAGCAUCAGCAUGUCUAAAGGUGCAGGUGGCAGCGUGGAUUUUGGGAUGCUUAAGGUCCUGGAUGAUGCAAAGCAAGUGCUGACUCUGAAGAACCAAGGGAAGUACGAGAUUGCGUGCAGUUUCAAGCUGGAAACCAUGGAUACCGACAUACGCGACUU